rnacentral:rRNA from 1 species
UUGACAUACCGAUGACAGGUCUAGAGAUAGAUUUUCCCUUUUAGGGCAUCGGAUACAGGUGUGCAUGGUUGUCGUCAGCUCGUGUCGUGAGAUGUUGGGUUAAGUCCCGCAACGAGCGCAACCCCUAUUGUUAGUUGCCAUCAUUAAGUUGGGCACUCUAGCGAGACUGCCAGUAAUAAACUGGAGGAAGGUGGGGAUGACGUCAAAUCAUCAUGCCCCUUAUGACCUGGGCUACACACGUGCUACAAUGGGAAGUACAACGAGUUGCGAGGCGGUGACGCCAAGCUAAUCUCUUAAAGCUUCUCUCAGUUCGGAUUGUAGGCUGCAACUCGCCUACAUGAAGUCGGAAUCGCUAGUAAUCGCGGAUCAGCACGCCGCGGUGAAUACGUUCCCGGGCCUUGUACACACCGCCCGUCACACCACGAGAGUUUGUAACACCCGAAGUCGGUGAGGUAACCGUAAGGAGCCAACCGCCUAAGGUGGGAUAGAUGAUUGGGGUGAAGUCGUAACAAGGUAAGCGUAGAUGA